GAUUAACGCUGGCGGCGUGCCUAACACAUGCAAGUCGAACGAGGGGGCAACCCCUAGUGGCAGACGGGUGAGUAACACGUGGUCAACCUACCGCUUUGUGGGGGAUAACCAGCCGAAAGGUUGGCUAAUACCGCAUACGUCGGGGCCGGCAUCGGCCCUUGAUAAAAGGAGCAAUCCGCAAGGUGACGGGACCGCGUCCCAUUAGCUAGUUGGUGAGGUAACGGCCCACCAAGGCUCCGAUGGGUAGCUGGUUUGAGAGAGCGACCAGCCACACUGG
rnacentral:rRNA from 1 species